rnacentral:rRNA from 1 species
CAGCAGCCGCGGUAAUACGAAGGGGGCUAGCGUUGCUCGGAAUGACUGGGCGUAGAGGGCGCGUAGGCGGCGGCCAAAGUCAGGCGUGAAAUUCCUGGGCUCAACCUGGGGGCUGCGUUUGAUACUUGGUUGCUUGAGUGGGGAAGAGGGUCGUGGAAUUCCCAGUGUAGAGGUGAAAUUCGUAGAUAUUGGGAAGAACACCGGUGGCGAAGGCGGCGACCUGGUCCUUUACUGACGCUGAGGCGCGAAAGCGUGGGGAGCAAACAGGAUUAGAUACCCGCGUAGUCCCUGUCUCUUAUAC